ensembl:snRNA U4 U4 spliceosomal RNA
AGCUUUGAGCAGUGGCAAUAUCUUAGCCAAUGAGGUUUAUCCGAGGCGCAAUUAUUGCUAAUUAAAUAGGGUUUCCAAUGUCCAGAAACUAGUUGUGAUGCUUGUAUAUUCGGUUUCAAAUUUUAUGUGUCCCUACCAAACUAG